rnacentral:rRNA from 1 species
GACGUAGGUUGCGAACGUUAUCCGGAACUAUUGGGCGUAAAGGGUGCGUAGCUGGCCUGAUAAGUUAGCAGUGGGAAAUCGAGGCUCAACCUCGUGGAAGCUGGUAAUACUGUCAGGCUCGAGUGCAGGAGAGGUUAACGGAACUCCAUGUGGAGCGGUAAAAUGUGUAGAUAUAUGGAAGAACACCAAUAACGGCGAAGGCAGUUAACUAUUCUGUUACUGACAUUGAGGCACGAAAGCGUGGGGAGCAAAACGG